GACAGAGGGUGCAAACGUUGUUCGGAAUUACUGGGCGUAAAGCGUGUGUAGGCUGUUUCGCAAGUCGGAUGUGAAAGCCCUGGGCUCAACCCAGGAAGUGCAUUCGAAACUGCAAAGCUGGAGUCCUGGAGAGGAAGGCGGAAUUCUCGGUGUAGAGGUGAAAUUCGUAGAUAUCGAGAGGAACACCGGUGGCGAAGGCGGCCUUCUGGACAGUGACUGACGCUGAGACGCGAAAGCGUGGGGAGCAAACAGG
rnacentral:rRNA from 1 species